rnacentral:rRNA from 1 species
CGGCCUUGACAUACUAAGAACUUUCCAGAGAUGGAUUGGUGCCUUCGGGAACUUAGAUACAGGUGCUGCAUGGCUGUCGUCAGCUCGUGUCGUGAGAUGUUGGGUUAAGUCCCGNAACGAGCGCAACCCUUUUCCUAUUUGCCAGCGGGUCAUGCCGGGAACUUUAAGGAUACUGCCAGUGACAAACUGGAGGAAGGCGGGGACGACGUCAAGUCAUCAUGGCCCUUACGGCCAGGGCUACACACGUGCUACAAUGGUCGGUACAAAGGGUUGCUACCUCGCGAGAGGAUGCUAAUCUCAAAAAGCCGAUCGUAGUCCGGAUCGCAGUCUGCAACUCGACUGCGUGAAGUCGGAAUCGCUAGUAAUCGCGGAUCAGAAUGCCGCGGUGAAUACGUUCCCGGGCCUUGUACACACCGCCCGUCACACUAUGGGAGUUUGUUGCACCAGAAGUAGGUAGUCUAACCGCAAGGAGGACGCUUACCACGGUGUGGCCGAUGACUGGGGUGAAGUCGUAACAAGGUAGGCGUAGAUGA